CACGUAGGGUGCGAGCGUUGUCCGGAAUUAUUGGGCGUAAAGAGCUCGUAGGCGGUGUGUCGCGUCGGCCGUGAAAACCUGCAGCUUAACUGUGGGCUUGCGGUCGAUACGGGCAUCACUGGAGUUCGGCAGGGGAGACUGGAAUUCCUGGUGUAGCGGUGAAAUGCGCAGAUAUCAGGAGGAACACCGGUGGCGAAGGCGGGUCUCUGGACCGAGACUGACGCUGAGGCGCGAAAGCCAGGGGAGCGAACGGG
rnacentral:rRNA from 1 species